rnacentral:rRNA from 1 species
CAGUAGCCGCGGGAAUACGGAGGGUGCAAGCGUUAAUCGGAAUUACUGGGCGUAAAGCGCACGCAGGCGGUCUGACAAGUCAGAUGUGAAAUCCCCGGGCUUAACCUGGGAACUGCAUUUGAAACUGUCAGGCUGGAGUCUUGUAGAGGGGGGUGGAAUUCCAGGUGUAGCGGUGAAAUGCGUAGAGAUCUGGAGGAAUACCGGUGGCGAAGGCGGCCCCCUGGACAAAGACUGACGCUCAGGUGCGAAAGCGUGGGGAGCAAACAGGAUUAGAGACCCGGGUAGUCCCUGUCUCUUAUAC